CACGUCAGAUUAAUGAAACGAUGGGCAGCGAUGGAGACUUCCGUGUGGGCUCGCGUGUUGGACUUUGUUUAGUAUAUUGCUGCUGCCAGACUUAACAAUUAUGGGCUUAAUGUCUUUUAUUAUGAAACCCAGCAGUCUAAGAUUAUCGUCUUCUCCCAAAAUCGAUACAGAAUUUUAGGUUUCAUGUUCUUCUUCCCGUCUGUAACCAACAAUUGAGGACCAAAAAUUAGGGUUCGUAUCCUCUUCGGUAUGCACCAGCUAUGGAGGAGAUUCAAUGAAUUGAGUGAGUCAAAUCGACGUGAAGAACUUCUUGCCAAGCUUCAAUUGCGUCUUUUCAUCUUCUAUUGUAAUCCUCCGAAGCGUUACGUAACAACCUUCUUAAAUGCUUCCACGAUUUCUGAUUCAUUGUAUCUCACUUUAUCCCUUUUACAAGCCAUGGAUCUUCACCUAUAAAAAAGGUGAGGUUGCUCAGAUUCUGGAAAAUUGACAUUCUUCUCAUCGAUUCUAAGGCCCGAACUGCAAAUCUCCUAAGAUUAUGAACUGAACAUGAUCAAAAAUAAUACCAAGCUUAUCACACGAAAUCUUUUCGAUAUCUGAGGAAGCUAGAGAGCUUGAAAAGCAACCCAGACAUGUCACUAAGGAGAAGCAUGAUUCUGUGCGAGGCCAAGUAUUUAGUAGGUAUUGUCUUCAAGUUUGUCUUACUGUUAGUCCUUAGGGUUCUUUUCCAACUGGUUGCUUCUCACUAUGACCAGAAAAUAGAACAUAUGCACGAGAUAGCUGUUGUUUUAGUCAAAGGCAAAUAAGUGAGCAAAUGUCAGACUGAAAGCUGGCGAAAGAAGGACCUAUUGCCACUGAAUCCGACAUCCAACAUAUUGUCUCCAUGUGGAGAUGAAUUCUGGUUGAGAAGGUCAGGUGAAUCUAGCCAGUCUUCCUAAGAUAAUGAAGAGACUUCAUAGAUGAAGUAUUGGCUAAGACGAAACUGUCAAAAGCUAUUAUCCGGGUGAUCCAACCCAAACCGUCCAAUCCAGUGUUAUGAAUUUUCAUGCUAUUUGAUUUAGCAUAUAAGAAUCACACUUGGUUGUAUUCUCUUAUAACAGAUUUGUAAACAACGCAUUUACAAAAUGUAGCCAUCAGUUCUCAAA